GACGUAGGGGGCAAGCGUUGUCCGGAUUUAUUGGGCGUAAAGAGCGUGUAGGCGGCCAGACAGGUCCGUUGUGAAAACUCGAGGCUCAACCUCGAGAUGUCGAUGGAAACCGUCUGGCUAGAGUCCGGAAGAGGAGUGUGGAAUUCCUGGUGUAGCGGUGAAAUGCGCAGAUAUCAGGAAGAACACCUAUGGCGAAGGCAGCUCUCUGGGACGGUACUGGCGCUGAGACGCGAAAGCGUGGGGAGCGAACAGG
rnacentral:rRNA from 1 species